UAGAGCAUCACGUUUAAAAUCACACGGCCUCUCACCUCUGGUCGGCGCGGGUUCGAAUCCCGCUCGCGCCGGUAAGUGAGAAAGUUUCCCAGUUUACUUUCGGAAGGUCGGUGGUCUCUUCCCAGGUACAUUGUAUCUGGGUUCUCUCUUCCACCAAUAAAAACUGGGCGCCAACAGAUAACUGAAAAAUUGUUGAGUGUGGCGGAAAACAUCUAUCAAUCAAUCAAUACAAUGAUGACUCUUAAUUCCAUGGUUAAAUGUCAAGGCUACAAAUAUUUCAUACCUAUUAGGCUUCAUCGUCAAAAGCCACGGCUGAAACGUACGCGCCUCUCCCCUUUCGAGAGGAGUGUAUACAUGUACAUUUCAGCCGUGGCUUGUGACGAUGAUUAGGUCUAAAUAUAUCAUUACAGCUCUUAAGCAGUUUUAAGAUUUUAAAAAUCUAUUUUACAGCACAUAUUUAAUCCAAGUUAGAGUAUUCAUUAAAGUAAUACAAGCUGUAACUAACGGCGAAUAAAUUGAAAAAUAAAAGAACAAAUAUUUAACAUAUUUGUGUUUGAAUAUAUAUAACUUCAUGGAAUCAGAGUGAAUUUGAAGCACUAAACCCGUCAAAUCAGCAGAAAAUUUCGAUUCAUGAAUUAUUGUCAUCCUGUCAGUAUAAUUCCUGGGCUGCGUUCAAGAUCGUAGCGGCUACGUAGGGCUCGGUAGCGCUACGAUCUUGAACGAUGUGCUAGGCUAGCCCUACGUAGGGAUGUAAAACUUAUACGGUACCAGUUUUGAUGCACCAGAUGCGCAUUUCGACAAAUUAUGUCUCUUCAGUGAUGCUCAACCGAAAUGUUUGAAAUCCGAAAUAAUAAUGAAGUUUUAGAGCUAUUAUAGGCAAAAACAGUGUGCCAAAAAUAACAAACGUUAAUUCAUACAGUGCGUUCAAUAGACCUAAGUAUCUAGCCAAGCAGCUAGGCUAGCCGCUACGUUCUUGAACGCGGUCCAGCUCGUAAUCUCCAAUGUGCAUUGACUUCGGGUGUCAGCAGUUCGGAAAAUGGCGAAAGAGAGGCACUGAGCACGUGUCAGAUUUGUAAACAAUAUUUAACAUGCCAAUUUUAUAGAAAAUAUUUAUGGAGCGCCAAAUUAACAUAAACUCAAAUAAUUGAAGAUAUCUUCAAUUAUUUGAAGAUAUCAUCAAUUCAUUUGAUGCGCGCAACAAUUGAAUUAAAGAUCUCUUCAAAUAAUUAAUGAUAUCUUCAAUUCUGAAUUAUUGCGCGCAUUAAUUGAAUUGUUGAUAGCAUUAAUUCUUCAACUGAAUUGAUGCGCGCUUCAAUUGAAUUAAUGAUCUCUUCAAAUGAAUUAAUGAUAUCAACAAUUGAAUUGAUGCGCGCUACAAUUCAAUUGAAGAGAGCAAUAAUUGAUAUAAUGCGCGCAUUAAAUCAAUUGAUGAGAGCAAUAAUUGAAUUGAUGCGCGCAUUAAUUCAUUUGAUGAGAGCAAUAAUUGAUUUAGUUCGCGCAUUAAUUCAAUUAUUGCUCUCUUCAAUUGAAUUAAUGAUAUCUUUAAUUCAUUGGAAGAGAGCAAUAAUUCUUUUAGAGAGAGCAACUAUAUAAUUAAAGAUAUCUUCAAUUCAACAUAUCCACAAUUGAAUUAAUGAUAUCUUUAAUUGAAUUGUUGCUCUCUUUAAAAGAAUUGAUGCGCGCAUUAAUUCCUUAUACAAAAGCAUUGUAAAUGAUUUAAAGAUAUCUUCAAUUGAAUUAAAGAGAUCAUCAAAUAAUUUAAUCCAAGCUCUAACUUAAUUAUUGCGAGCAAUAUUUCUACUAAAUUGAUGCUCUCAUUAAAUGAAUUGAAGAGAGCAAUAAUUGAAUUAAUGCGCGCAUCAAAUCUAUUAUUGCUCUCAUUAAUUGAAUUAAUGCACGCAUCAAUUGAAUUGAAGAGAGCAAUAAUUGAAUUAAUGCGCGCAUUAAAUCAAUUAUUGCUCUCAUUAAUUCAAUUGAUGAGCGCAUUAAUUCAAUUGAUGACAGCAAUAAUUGAAUUGAAGCGCGCAUUAAUUCAUUUGAUGAGAGCAAUAAUUGAUUUAAUGCGCGAAUUAAUUCAAUUAAAGAGAGCAACAAUUGAAUUGAUGAUAUUUUCAAAUAAUUAAAGAUAUCUUCAAUUAUUUGAGUUUAUGUUAAUUUGGCGCUCCAUAAAUAUUCACUAUCAAAAUUUCAUUUGAGUGGCACAGUUACGUAAUUAUUAUUUUCUUAUAGUACUUCUUGUCAUUCAUGAAACGAUGUAGUAUUUUAAAACAAACGACACGUGUAGUUAUUCACGUCAGUUUCCGUCUUUUUAUAUGACCUCGGUCUCAGCAACCCGAUUAAUGUUCGGCAAUCAUCGUCCCCAUGUCCGUGUAUACGACGCAAUGGCGGUUUAUAUGAAACCCUUAUUGUAGGUAUGCUCUCAAACAAUAUUCCCUUGUUUAUUUUGCUGAAUUUUUCUUCAGAUAUUAGUUAUACCGAUACGUGUUAUUUGGUGCAUGAUUGGAUAGUUGAAAAAAUACCGUCAGUUACAGCUUGUACUGGUAUCUUUUUUUUUAGAAACACGUGGCAUAUGAUCCACGGUUUACGGUCCCUUUUUAAAGGACAGCAACUUGUAUGUCAAUUUCAAAGGUCGGGUCACUGAAGAAACAGCCUAACAGAACAUUGGUAAAAUGACGGUAGAUAUCGUUGAAUAAAACACAACGUUUGCAAUGUAGUUUAAUGAUAAUGAUGCAAUGGAAUGUAAAUAUAAUGGCAUUGGUGUGUUUAAAUGGUAUUACAUGAAGUACUCGUUUUGGCGCCUAGACAAUUGUUCACUCCUAUGGAUUAUCUUCGAUUUUUCAGAUAUUACAGAUAGAACAUUAUCUCUGCUUUAUGUGAAUUAGGUCCUUUUCACGCGUAACAAAAUGAAACAUUUAGCACAUUAAAUCAUAAAUAUUUACUGCUAGAGUAUCUUUCCGUAGUAAGUGCACUUAUCGUGACAACCCUUCCCUAUCCCUGUAAAAUAUCGAAAAUGAACUCUCAGCAAAAUGUUUGAAAGGUCUGCAUGUAAACAGAUUUAUUCAUGGAAAAGUGAAGAUAACGAACAGUGAUCAAUCUAAUAAAUCCUAUAAAGAAUGCAAAAUUAAGAGUAGGGUAAAACGGUUCCUGUGACGGUACAUGUGGUCGACCGGUACAUAUUGUCGUCGGCGAUGAUGUGUACAUACCCUUAUGAUGGUCUCGGCACAUAUUGACGUCGCCCCCAUAUUUCGGCAAUCGAUAGCCUUGCGGGGUAUGCACAUAGUUUAUGUAAUAAUGUCAAAAAUAAUUUAAAGUAUUUUUGAUAAUUUGUACUAAUCACAUGGUAUCUUUAAAUGACUGUCUUUUCCAUAUUCAAAAAUUACAUAAAUAAAUGCUUUCUUGCUUCGCGUUAGGAUACAUGGUUUUAUGUGUGAUAAUCAGGCAAAAUUCAGAUUAAUAUGUUAGAACUCUUUUAUGCAAAUGAGAACCAAGAAAGGUUAUCAUCCAAUCAAAAUCAGUCUAGUUAGUACAUGCAUAUAAAGAUCGCAGUCACUGUAGCUCCUCACUUUGUUGGUAGAAAUCAAGCUGAAAACAUCUUAGGUAAGACAGGGAUUAGACGUGGUUGAACAAGGUUUUCCUUCUCUAUCUCACCAAUAAUACGGAUAAUCGUUUUGAUAAAAGAUAUAUACUUAGUUAAGUGAGCCGGCAACUGAAUCAACAAGUCCCUCACCCCUAUUAGCUAACAACCCGUCUCAACGAUGUAACCUUUAAAGUGUUUUGUUGGUUUCUUACGACGAAGUCGAAAGGGACUUAAUGUUUGCAAUCCAUCCGUCCAUCCACCUCUCUGUCCGGCAAAUCAGUUUCCAGCACCCUUUCUCUGUUCUUGCAUAUAUUUAUUUCAUAUUUGGUACAUUGUUUUGCCAUAACAAGUUACAGAUCAAGUUCAAUUUUGGUUUUGAUCCGUUGAUUUUUCACUAAAUCAUGGCCCUUGGACUCAGAAAAAGUAGCUUGAAUUAUCAGUUUUCCGGAUUUUUGUUGUUGUGCUUGCAGAUAGUCAUUUGAUAUUUGAAACAUUGCUUUACCAUAAUAAGUUAUAGAUCAAGUUCGAAUUUCGUCUCAGUCCGUUGAUGUUUUCACUAAGUUAUGGCCCUUGGACUUAGAAAAAUAGCGUAAAUUAUCAGAUUACGAACGUUUUUUGUUGUGCUUGCAGAUAUUCAUUUCAUAUUUGGUUCAUUGCCCGAAGGGCUUUAUGGAAAAUUUGAUCAUGUACCAACCCGUAUUUAUAUCCCGAUAAAUAUUUCAAAAUGAUACCUUAUUUCUUAUAUUUACAUUUUUGGUCGGUAACAUUGCUGAAUUGUGUGAACAACACGUUUCCAUACAUUUCAAAUUGUUGACGUCCACAACGAAGCGUCAUAGAUGUUCAAAAUGACGACAACACAAAAUAAAGUUCCAUAAAAUGAAGAACUGUUUUAAUUAUUAAGACGCUAGAAAGCAAGUAUAUCAACUUAUACUUAUACAUUAACUCGAGAGUAUAUAAUGGAAAACUCUUCCAUAUGUCUAAUUUUAGGGGGUGGGGGGAAUUAUGGUUUAAACGGGGGUGCGUAAUGUUACACUUACAGUUGUGAUGCACUUUCACUUUUGAAAAGUGAAGACGUUGAAGACCGACUUUGAAAGAUAUUCUGUGGAUAUUACGGAGUUAACAGAAGACUGAGAUGGAGGAGCAUGAAGAACAGGGCGACAGUCGUGAGGUGUAGGCAAAUCAUUUAUAGACAGAACAGAGGACGCAGCUCAGAUGAAUCUCCGGAAAGAACUGAACAUCGCAGAGAAUGUGGAACUGUACGAAGGUUUUUAACGACGCCUCGCUUCGAUGUCCCAACAUAAACUUGGAAACCGACAUCAAUCACCUAUGGCUGCUGUGGCACGGAAGCAGUGUGUGUGUAGGUCUUAAUGCACUUUGACGACUUAUCGGCCAUACAUCCUGUGAAUGACCUUUUUGCAAAAGCCUAAUGUCAUCGUCUAGCAGUAGGUACAAUUCACCGAUGACCAGGGUGAAGUUGUAGCAGACGAAAGUUUAGACAUACAAUAGUAAAAUAUUGUUUACAGAAAUGCUUUUAUCAAUUAUGGAUGAACGUCCACUGCUUGGAAUACAAAUAAAACCGUAAAUACAUUU